UACAGAGGGGGCAAGCGUUGUUCGGAAUUACUGGGCGUAAAGGGCGCGUAGGCGGCCUUCUAAGUCGGACGUGAAAUCCCCGGGCUUAACCUGGGAAUGGCAUUUGGGACUGCAAGGCUCGAGUGCGGCAGAGGAGACUGGAAUUCCUGGUGUAGCAGUGAAAUGCGUAGAUAUCAGGAGGAACACCGAUGGCGAAGGCAGGUCUCUGGGCUGACACUGACGCUCAUGCACGAAAGCGUGGGGAGCGAACAGG
rnacentral:rRNA from 1 species